UNCCAGGCUGUCCACAACUUCUCCUG
rnacentral:piRNA from 1 species